rnacentral:rRNA from 1 species
GACGAACGCUGGCGGCGUGCUUAACACAUGCAAGUCGAACGGAGCGGCGAAAGGGUGAGUAACAAGUGGGUGAUCGGCCUUGCACUUCGGAAUAAGCUUGGGAAAAUUGGCCUAACACCCGACAGUGCCGGAUGAGCUCACGGCGUAUCAGCUUGUCGGUGGGGUAAUGGCCUACCAAGGCGUCGACGGGUAGCCGGCCUGAGAGGGUGUACGGCCACAUUGGGAAUGAGAUACGGCCCGGACCCCGACGGGGUGCAGCAGUGGGGAAUAUUGCACAAUGGGCGGAAGCCUGAUGCAGCGACGUCGCGUGGGGGAUGAAGGCCUUCGGGUUGUAAACUCCUUUCGACAGGGACGCGGUACCUGUAUAAGAAGCACCGGCUAACUACGUGCCAGCAGCCGCGGUAAUUC